UAUUUAUUAGUUUAAAAUUAAAACAUUAUAUUUUCAAUAUAAAAAUAAUAUAUUAUUUAUAAAUAA
rnacentral:tRNA from 1 species